UACGUAGGGGGCAAGCGUUGUCCGGAAUUAUUGGGCGUAAAGAGCGUGUAGGCGGCCAGAUAAGUCCGCUGUGAAAUCUCGAGGCUCAACUUCGAGCUGUCGGUGGAAACUAUCUGGCUAGAGUCCGGAAGAGGAGAAUGGAAUUCCUGGUGUAGCGGUGAAAUGCGCAGAUAUCAGGAAGAACACCCGUGGCGAAGGCGGUUCUCUGGGACGGUACUGACGCUGCGACGCGAAAGCGUGGGGAGCGAACAGG
rnacentral:rRNA from 1 species